UUGAAGUGAUGUCUUCGUGCAUCAACAUGGGAGUCCAUCUUGACAUGUUGCCUGUUCGUUCAUCUACUGUGAAUUUUUAUAAACCCUUAGUUUAUUUGAGGUCGAAUAAUUAUGGUUUUGUUAGAAUUUUUAAAUUUUUAAAACAGGUUUAGACGAUGAUUGUAGAUUUUUCGUAUCGAUGUGACCACGCCUCAAAAAAUUGCCUUCGUUUUAUAGCCAAAAUAUGUGAAAUAUUUUUCAAAAAUAUUACUCUGCCUUCAAAAAUUCUAUAUUUCUGUUAUAAAAAUUUUCAUUUUUGCCUUGUUAUUCUAGAGUUUGGAUUUUAACUUGUUUUUUUUUUUUUUAAUAAUACAGGCUUGCUGUGUGAUAACAACCUAGGAUUGGAUGGACAAACUACUUACAGAUGUAAUGUCUGUGACAGUGUGACUUAUUUUAUUUCCAAAAAUGCCUCUAAUGAGCUGAUUGAAAAAUUCAUUGGACAUUGUUAACAAUGGUUUCCAUUAAAAAAUAAAGAUGAACAUAAGGAGGUAAAUCAAAAGGACUUGAAACGUGGAGAAACAGAGCCCCACUCAUACUUUCCCCUUUUGGACUUGGAAAGGACAGUUGUAUUUAUGAAAUGGUUAUCAUUUAAACACGUUAAAUGAACAAGGAGACAAGUCAGAAGGAUUCGAAACGUGGAGAAAUGAAGCCCCUUAAAUGUUUUUUAGAAAAAAACAUGCAGUCCAAUUCACACUGAUGUAUAUAAGGUUGCGCACGUGAUUUGUGUCUUCUGCUCUGUGGCUCAUUUCACUAUCGAUGGUAUCAUUAUUCCUUUCAAAAGUAUCUAUUGUUAGAAGCACUCUCUGCUGUCAACGCUUAGGAAUAAAACUCGAGCACCUUCGGUAAUCCUCGGGAUUGUUCAACAAAUGGGAAAGAAAUAAAGUUCAGUUUGGUCCUACUGAAACAACCAAUGUCUACAUGGGCAUCAU